rnacentral:rRNA from 1 species
UGAGGAAUAUUGGUCAAUGGGCGAGAGCCUGAACCAGCCAAGUCGCGUGAGGGAAGACUGCCCUAUGGGUUGUAAACCUCUUUUGGCGGGGGAUAAAGUGCGGGACGUGUCCCGUAUUGCAGGUACCCGUCGAAUAAGGAUCGGCUAACUCCGUGCCAGCAGCCGCGGUAAUACGGAGGAUCCGAGCGUUAUCCGGGAUUUAUUGGGUUUAAAGGGUGCGCAGGCGGCGCGCCAAGUCAGCGGUCAAAGUUCCGGGCUCAACCCGGUGUCGCCGUUGAAACUGGCGUGCUCGAGUGCGUGCGAGGAAGGCGGAAUGCGUUGUGUAGCGGUGAAAUGCAUAGAUAUGACGCAGAACUCCGAUUGCGAAGGCAGCUUUCCAGCGCGCUACUGACGCUGAGGCACGAAAGCGUGGGGAUC